rnacentral:rRNA from 1 species
GACGAACGCUGGCGGCGUGCUUAACACAUGCAAGUCGAACGAUGAAGCUGGAGCUUGCUCUGGUGGAUUAGUGGCGAACGGGUGAGUAACACGUGAGUAACCUGCCCUGGACUCUGGGAUAACCCCGAGAAAUCGGAGCUAAUACCGGAUAGGACCUCGGAGCGCAUGAUCUGGGGUGGAAAGUUUUUCGGUCUGGGAUGGACUCGCGGCCUAUCAGCUUGUUGGUGAGGUAAUGGCUCACCAAGGCGUCGACGGGUAGCCGGCCUGAGAGGGUGACCGGCCACACUGGGACUGAGACACGGCCCAGACUCCUACGGGAGGCAGCAGUGGGGAAUAUUGCACAAUGGGCGCAAGCCUGAUGCAGCAACGCCGCGUGCGGGAUGACGGCCUUCGGGUUGUAAACCGCUUUUAGUAAGGAAGAAGCCGCAAGGUGACGGUACUUGCAGAAAAAGGACCGGCUAACUACGUGCCAGCAGCCGCCGUAAUAC